CCCCGCCGGGCACGGAGGCAGCGCGACCCCGUGCCGCAGCCCCCCGCACCCCACGCUCCCCGUGCCCGGUGCCCGAGCGCUGCCGGUCCCGGGAGACCCCCGCCCUGGGACCCCGCAUCCCGGGACCAGCUGGAAAACCCGCACCUGGACCCCCAGCCCGGCCCCCCCAGCCCCAGCCGCACCCCCCGAGCAUCUCCGGUGCCUCCGGUGCCCCUGCCCGCGGCUGCCUCCGCUCGCCCGGCCCCGAGCGCGGCCGCUGCCCCUCGCGGGGUGCCCCGGGGACACCCCAGGGCGCUGGCAGCGCGCCCCGGUGCUGAGGUUUGGCUUUGGCCUCGGGCAGCGGGGGUGAGGCAGGUGCCCGCGGCCAAAGUGCGCGGGGUUAGGCUGCAGCAGGUGAGGUGAGAGCACGCAGAACUGGAAACACAUCCAGCAGGAGGAGGGAUGGACGGACGGACGGACGGAUGGAUGGACGGACAGAUGAAGGGAUGGAGGGAUGGAGGGAUGGAUGGGUGGGUGGGGAGAUCCUCAUGGAAAAGAGGGAGCUCCUCAUGCACACACAGAGAGCCCCGGAGGUGCAGAUGUAGCAGCUCUGCCAUCAUGCCGGGGGCAUGCUGGGGACGUGGCCCUGCUCCCCCUGGGGACAUGCUGGGGACCUGGCCCUGCUCCCCCUGAGGACACGGGUGCUGCCUGCACCAAGCCCCGAGGGGUCCCCCCUGUGCUGCUGCGCCUGCGGCUGAGCAGGGCUGGGGCUGUCCCCCCGUGCCGUCCCCACGAGCCCGAUGUGUCCCCACGGGAGCCACCCCUGGGUCACCACCGGCCAGGGCUGGCCGUGGGGUGGGGGACAGGGAUCCCCCAUGCAGGGUGGCCCCGUGGGGUGGCCGGCCAUGGGCAGCAAGCCGGGAUGUGGCCACAAGCCCUGCGUGGAGGUCUGUCCCUUUGGGACGGGGGAAUCCCUGUCCAGCCUGGGCGGUGGCACCCCAAGCAGUGCCGUGCCCCCCCGGCUGCCGCCUUCCCUUUCCUGGCAGUUUCGGUCGCUGGGGCUGCCACGCGCAGGGCUCCGGGAGGAAGCGGCUGUGGGCUCGGCCAGCUACGGGAUGGCCACCGAGGGGCCGGACCUGUACGAGAACCUGCAGAUCCGCUACCCGCACGUGCUGGAUUUCGGGUCCCGGCCGUCCCCGUCCCGCCGGGUGCUGGGCACUCUGCUGGCCGUGGGCUUGGCGGCCCUCCUGGCCCUGGGGGCCGCCCUGACGGCCGUCGCCACCCUGCGCGCACGGGACCAGGCGGAGCUGCGGGUGGCACGGGCAGAGCUGGAGGCGCUGGGGCCGCUGCUGCCGCCCGGCCCCGAUGGGCGGUGGCUGCAGGGGCUGGGCCUGGGCUGGAGGUACCACAAGGGGAAGAUCUACUACUUCUCGGGGGACCAGAAGCCCUGGCGCGAGGCGAAGGAGUUCUGCCUCUCCAAGCAGGCGCAGCUCACCUCCGUCACCAGCCGGGACGAGCAGGUGGGUGCGCGGGGCUCCGUGCCCUUCACCGCCUGCGUGCCCUGCAGCCAGCUGCCAGCUGCACCCCCGGGCACCCCGUGCCCGUGCCUUCCUGCCCCGUGUGCCCCCCCACCCCAUGCACCUCCCUGCCCCGUGCACCCUCCUGCUUGUGCCUUCCUGCCCCAUGUAG
rnacentral:lncRNA from 1 species